UACGUAGGGGGCAAGCGUUAUCUGGAUUCAUUGGGCGUAAAGCGCGCGUAGGCGGCUUGUUAAGUCAGAUGUGAGAACCGGGGGCUCAACCCGCGGCCUGCAUCAAAAACUGGCAGGCUUGAGUCUGGUAGAGGAAAGUGGAAUUCCUGGUGUAGCGGUGAAAUGCGCAGAUAUCAGGAGGAACACCAGUGGCGAAGGCGGCUUUCUGGGCCACGACUGACGCAGAGGCGCGAAAGCUAGGGGAGCGAAC
rnacentral:rRNA from 2 species